rnacentral:rRNA from 1 species
GACGAACGCUGGCGGCGUGCUUAACACAUGCAAGUCGAACGGAAAGGCCCUGCUUUUGUGGGGUGCUCGAGUGGCGAACGGGUGCGUAACACGUGAGUAACCUGCCCUUGACUUUGGGAUAACUUCUGGAAACUGGGGCUAAUAUCGGAUAGGAGCUCCUGCUGCAUGGUGGGGGUUGGAAAGUUUCGGCUGUUGGGGAUGGACUCGAGGCUUAUCAGCUUGUUGGGGGGGUAGUGGCUUACCAAGGCUUUGACGGGUAGCCGGCCUGAGAGGGUGGCCGGCCACAUGGGGACUGAGAUACGGCCCAGACUCCUACGGGAGGCAGCAGUGGGGAAUAUUGCACAAUGGGCGGAAGCCUGAUGCAGCAACGCCGCGUGCGGGAUGACGGCCUUCGGGUUGUAAACCGCUUUCGCCUGUGACGAAGCGUGAGUGACGGUAAUGAGUAAAGAAGCACCGGCUAACUACGUG